rnacentral:rRNA from 1 species
UCCAGACUCCUACGGGAGGCAGCAGUGGGGGAUAUUGCACAAUGGGGGAAACCCUGAUGCAGCGACGCCGCGUGAGUGAAGAAGUAUUUCGGUAUGUAAAGCUCUAUCAGCAGGGAAGAAGAAAGACGGUACCUGAGUAAGAAGCCCCGGCUAACUACGUGCCAGCAGCCGCGGUAAUACGUAGGGGGCAAGCGUUAUCCGGAUUUACUGGGUGUAAAGGGAGCGUAGACGGCGAUGCGAGCCAGAUGUGAAAGCCCGGGGCUCAACCCCGGGACUGCAUUUGGAACUGUGUGGCUGGAGUGUCGGAGAGGCAGGCGGAAUUCCUAGUGUAGCGGUGAAAUGCGUAGAUAUUAGGAGGAACACCAGUGGCGAAGGCGGCCUGCUGGGCUUUUACUGACGCUGAGGCUCGAAAGUGUGGGGAGCAAACAGGAUUAGAUACCCGUGUAG